CAUAUUUUACCUUUUCCACGGGAAUUAUAAUGAUCGGUCACGUAUGUUGAGGGAUAUAACAAGAAUGAAGUUCCCAACAAGCGCGAGCCGAAGCGUAACGACGUCUGCCUCAUCGCCAUCGACAUUCCCCAACCGCCGUUUCAAACAGGCGAGGCGCGUCGUCGUAGCGGUUCGGUAGGAUAUGACAUGUUACACGGAAGGGUCUUUGGAACCUCAGCAUCAUGCGUAUUUUGUACUGGAAUCUCGGGAGCAUCGAGGCAGUACUGGCCAGUACGUCGAACAACUACGUUGUGCAUAACAGCGAUUGCCGUGGUGUGCGAGAGCUAGCGUUCCUUUGUUCUCCGGCUUUGCAGUUAAGGUGAGUUCGUUCUUCCUUUUGCCUCACUUAAGAUUUGUGCGUUGUUCUUUUUUUUCAACAAUCACAUGUUGUAGAUGUGUGGAGCAAUGACAGCUUUGUAUCUGAGUAAACAGCUGUAGUUUGCUUUACCUGCAGAGUCUGGUGCGUAUCACUGACGAACUCAUGCGAACGGCGGAACUGUGUGAGAUUGUGUGUACAGCUACAAAGUGCAAGUCCAAUUCUUCACAUCUCUUUGAUUCAGGAUUUGAUUGGGAAUGAUGAAAGCAAUGGUGAAGCAAAUUCUAUUAACUAUGCGCAGCCUGCUAGUAGAUAAGCUUGGCUCAGCUACAGUUGUCUUUCAUAUAAAGGAUAACAGUUAUGUUUUCACGUUCGACUGCACUGUUUUUCAAAGUUCCUUGUUUUUUCAUGACCGCUUAUCUUUCUUAAAUGUCACAUGGACGCGAUGUGACUCUAGAUUAAUAAAACAUGACUGUUUUACAGUAUCCACACACAACCAUGGAUAGCCUCACACAUGUGUAAAGUUACUGGUGUCUCUACAACACUGAAGAGCCAGGCAUAAACCGGAAGACGUCGCUUGGGUCUGCCAGUGAUUAGGCUGCUUCCGCAUGUAACCAUCUAUACUGCAUGAGAAACUGCGGGAUGACGGUUGCGAAGUGGCGUAGCAAUCACGUGAUUAUUAUUAUGACCAUUAUUGUCUUAUUAUGCGUCUUAUCCGUGUCACCCUAUAUUGUUAAUAAUUAGCCUAUUUAUGUUGUAAUAUCAUAUUUUGUACUAUUAGAAAGAGCGUUUCUUACAGUGCAUGUAACAUCACUGUACUUGGUUUGUGUUCAAUAAACAAGAGUUCGUUGGUACGA